CGGCCGCCGCCGCCGCCUCACCCUCGGCCGCCUGCAAAGUCUGCAAGAGCUGGCGUGCUUCCUCCUCCUCCUCUUCGGUUGCCGCCGCCACCGCCUUCCCCCCGGCCGCCGGCCCAGCGCUCGGCUCAGCAGGCAAGCUGCCCAACAGGCCAUUGGCCAAUCGCAUUCGCCUCCUGAUUGGUGCACUGGCAGCCUCCUCCCCACCACGCUUACAGAGAGACACCCCGGAGGCUGGAGCUUUGGAGAGACUACCGAGCCUUUUAUUCUCGAGGGUCGGGGGUGGGGUUCUAGGUGGGGACAGACAAUAAAUACUGAGGAAUGUC